AUUGAACGCUGGCGGCAGGCCUAACACAUGCAAGUCGAACGAGUGGCGGACGGGUGAGUAAUGUCUGGGAAACUGCCUGAUGGAGGGGGAUAACUACUGGAAACGGUAGCUAAUACCGCAUACCAUCAGAUGUGCCCAGAUGGGAUUAGCUAGUUGGUGGGGUAAAGGCUCACCAAGGCGACGAUCCCUAGCUGGUCUGAGAGGAUGACCGGCCACACGGGAACUGAGACACGGUCCAGACUCCACCGGGAGGAAGCGGAGGGGAAUUUUGCACAAGGGGCGCAAGCCGGACACAGCCAUGCCGCGUGUAUGAAGAGGGCCUUCGGGUUGUAAAGUACGUUCAGCGGGGAGGCGGUACCCGCAGAAGAAGCACCGGCUAACUCCGUGCCAGCAGCCGCGGUAAUAC
rnacentral:rRNA from 1 species